rnacentral:rRNA from 1 species
UACGUAGGGGGCUAGCGUUGUCCGGAAUCAUUGGGCGUAAAGAGCGUGUAGGCGGCCCGGUAAGUCCGUUGUGAAAGUCCAGGGCUCAACCCUGGAAUGCCGAUGGAUACUGCGGAGCUAGAGUCCGGAAGGGGCGAGUGGAAUUCCUGGUGUAGCGGUGAAAUGCGCAGAUAUCAGGAGGAACACCUAUGGCGAAGGCAGCUCGCUGGGACGGUACUGACGCUGAGGCGCGAAAGCGUGGGGAGCGAACAGG